GUGAGGAAUAUUGAGCAAUGGGCGCAAGCCUGACUCAGCAACGCCGCGUGGAUGACGAAGGCCUUCGGGUUGUAAAAUCCUUUUCUGGGGGACGAUAAUGACGGUACCCCAGGAAUAAGUUCCGGCUAACUACGUGCCAGCAGCCGCGGUAAAACGUAGGGAACAAGCGUUAUCCGGAUUUACUGGGCGUAAAGCGCACGCAGGCGGCAUGGCAAGUUGGACGUGAAAACUCCUGGCUUAACUGGGAGAGGUCGUACAAAACUACCAAGCUAGAGGAUGGAAGAGGAGAGUGGAAUUCCCGGUGUAGUGGUGGAAUGCGUAGAUAUCGGGAGGAACACCAGUGGUGAAAACGGCUCUCUGGUCCAAGCCUGACGCUGAGGUGCGAAAGCGUGGGGAGCGAACGGGAUUAGAAACCCUGGUAGUCC
rnacentral:rRNA from 1 species